AUUGAACGCUGGCGGCAGGCUUUACACAUGCAAGUCGAACGAGUGGCGGACGGGUGAGUAAUUUCUCGGAACCUGCCUGGUGGAGGGGGAUAACUACUGGAAACGGUGGCUAAUACCGCAUACUCUCGGAUGUGCCCAGAUGGGAUUAGCUAGUAGGUGGGGUAAAGGCUCACCUAGGCGACGAUCCCUAGCUGGUCUGAGAGGAAGACCAGCCAAACUGGAACUGAGACACGGUCCAGACUCCUACGGGAGGCAGCAGUGGGGAAUAUUGCACAAUGGGCGAAAGCCUGAUGCAGCCAUGCCGCGUGUAUGAAGAAGGCCUUCGGGUUGUAAAGUACUUUCAGCUGGGAGGCGUUACCCGCAGAAGAAGCACCGGCUAACUCCGUGCCAGCAGCCGCGGUAAUUC
rnacentral:rRNA from 1 species